rfam:Triticum aestivum genome assembly, contig: Triticum_aestivum_CS42_TGACv1_scaffold_094588_2AL
AAAGUACUCCCUUCGUCCGGAAAUACUUAUCGAAAAAAUGCAUAAAAUUGUUAUAUCUAGAACUAAAAUACAUCUAGAUACAUCCAUUUCUCUGACAAGUAUUUCUGAACGAAGGAAGUACGUG